GAUGAACGCUAGCGACAGGCUUAACACAUGCAAGUCGAGGGGCAGCGGGGGUAGCAAUACCCGCCGGCGACCGGCGCACGGGUGAGUAACGCGUAUGCAACUUACCUAUCAGAGGGGGAUAACCCGGCGAAAGUCGGACUAAUACCGCAUGAAGCAGGGGCCCCGCAUGGGGAUAUUUGCUAAAGAUUCAUCGCUGAUAGAUAGGCAUGCGUUCCAUUAGGCAGUUGGCGGGGUAACGGCCCACCAAACCGACGAUGGAUAGGGGUUCUGAGAGGAAGGUCCCCCACAUUGGUACUGAGACACGGACCAAACUCCUACGGGAGGCAGCAGUGAGGAAUAUUGGUCAAUGGGCGCGAGCCUGAACCAGCCAAGUCGCGUGAGGGAUGAAGGUUCUAUGGAUCGUAACCCUCUUUUAUAAGGGAAUAAAGUGCGGGACGUGUCCUGUUUUGUAUGUACCUUAUGAAUAAGGAUCGACUAACUCCGUGCCAGCAGCCGCCGCCG
rnacentral:rRNA from 1 species